AGAGUUUGAUCCUGGCUCAGGAUAAACGCUGGCGGCGUGCCUAACACAUGCAAGUCGAACGCCCCUUCGCAAGAAGGGAGUGGCGGACGGGUGAGGAACACGUGGGUAUCUGCCUUGAGGUGAGGAAUACCAGCGAGAAAUCGCUGACAAUACCGCAUACGUUUCGCAAGAAACAAAGUCGCAAGACGCCACAAGAUGAG
rnacentral:rRNA from 1 species